GAAAAGACAAGGUCAUUUCUUUUAUAUUUUUGGAAAAAAAUAUUUUUCAGUUAAUGAUUGAAAGUAACCGGAGGAGAUUUAGGAUUCAUCUGCAGUUAUUUGUUGGGGAGAGAUGCAUUAUUGUUUUACUGGAAUGUUUCAAGUGUUAAAAUAGUUUAGAAAUGUUGAAAAUGUGGAAGUGUCUAUGCUUUACAGCUAAACAUCUUUAGGCAUCAUGGCUUAAGGUUGAAUUGAAAACUAGAUCUAAAAUCAGAGUUGCUGGUAAUGUUUAACUUUAUUGAUUAACCAACUUGAAAGCACUACAUUUAUGAAUAAUUGUAAACUGCCAGUGCUUCAGCUUGUAGUCCUUAAUGAAAUUUGGAGUCCAAAACAUAAAACUAAUGGUGACUUUUGACUAUUCCGGAGAACCUGGAAUUGGAACUAUUAAAAAAUAGUCCUGAUGCCUAAAAGUUAUAAAUUUUUGUAACAACAGCUAAUAUUUGAAUAAACAUGAAAAAUAGGACUUGUUAAGGACUAUUGUUCUAAGAGAGACAGGUUUUUUUAAACUCCUCUUCUUUAGCUUGAUAUAGUCUGCAUCAAUAACUGACCAUACUACUUAAAUUGUGGGACAAUGUUCGUCCACUUCAAGAAAUGAAAGGCUAAUUUUGAAGGUAAAGCACAACAACAGUUUGUUUUGCAUUCAAUUAUGACCAUGCUGCAUCCUUGGCCAUAAACUAUGUAGAAAGUGGAAACUUCUCAACGUAAAGUAUUCUUCCUUUUUGCUGUUGUUCCUACUAAAUUAAUAAAGAUGACAUAAACCUUCUUUGAGUUUUAAAAAUGUUCUGUAUAUUUUACAUUUGGGUUCUUGACUAAAAAAAUUGCAAACCUUUUGUCAAAUUUGAAAUUAUGGCUGAUCUUCUUAAAGUUGUUAGUUAUAUACAUAAACUUUCACAUUGUUCAAUUGUAUCCAAACCUAUUUUAGUAUCUAACUAUAUAAUAUGGUUUAUUUGUAUAAGAUAUUCAAAAAUUAAUGGUGAUAUUUUAAAUUAUUCAUUAUCGUUUAUCACCCGGAAAUAUAGAUAAAAAGGAAAAUCUGAAUUUUGUUCACUGCUUUAUCUCUCU
rnacentral:misc_RNA from 1 species